rnacentral:rRNA from 1 species
AACGAACGCUGGCGGCAUGCCUAACACAUGCAAGUCGAACGAGACCUUCGGGUCUAGUGGCGCACGGGUUCGUAACGCGUGGGAACCUGCCCUUAGGUUCGGCAUACCUCCCCGAAAGGGGUGCUAAUACCGGAUAAUGUCUUCGGACCAAAGAUUUAUCGCCUUUGGAUGUGCCCGCGUUGGAUUAGCUAGUUGGUAGGGUAAAAGCCUACCAAGGCGACGAUCCAUAGCUGGUCUGAGAGGAUGAUCAGCCACACUGGGACUGAGACACGGCCCAGACUCCUACGGGAGGCAGCAGUGGGGAAUAUUGGACAAUGGGCGAAAGCAUGAGCCAGCAAUGACGCGUGAGUGAUGAAGGCAGUAGGGUUGUAAAGCGCUUUUACCCGGGAUGAUAAUGACAGUACCGGGAGAAUAAGCUCCGGCUAACUCCGUG